rfam:Bacillus licheniformis ATCC 14580, complete genome.
AACUUAUCAAGAGCGGUGGAGGGACUGGUCCGAUGAAACCCGGCAACCUGCGUGUGAAGCGUAAGGUGCUACUUCCAGCAAAAUGCCCUCAUUUUGAGAGAUAAGGA